rnacentral:rRNA from 1 species
UACGUAGGGUGCAAGCGUUAAUCGGAAUUACUGGGCGUAAAGCGUGCGCAGGCGGUUUUGUAAGUCUGUCGUGAAAGCCCCGGGCUCAACCUGGGAAUUGCGAUGGAGACUGCAAGGCUUGAAUCUGGCAGAGGGGGGGGUAGAAUUCCACGUGUAGCAGUGAAAUGCGUAGAGAUGUGGAGGAACACCGAUGGCGAAGGCAGCCCCCUGGGUCAAGAUUGACGCUCAUGCACGAAAGCGUGGGGAGCAAACAGG